rnacentral:rRNA from 1 species
UACGAAGGGGGCUAGCGUUGCUCGGAAUCACUGGGCGUAAAGCGCACGUAGGCGGACUCUUAAGUCGGUGGUGAAAUCCUGGAGCUCAACUCCAGAACUGCCUUCGAUACUGGGAGUCUCGAGUUCGGGAGAGGUGAGUGGAACUGCGAGUGUAGAGGUGAAAUUCGUAGAUAUUCGCAAGAACACCAGUGGCGAAGGCGGCUCACUGGCCCGAUACUGACGCUGAGGUGCGAAAGCGUGGGGAGCAAACCGGG